GUGUCAGACGGCAAUGAUUUUAUUUAAUUUUGUUAUUUUCACUAUUGCCAAAAACAUAUUUUAUGUAUUUGUUCUAGUUAAAGGGACAUUUUGUUUUCACACCUGUGGUUAUAAGUGUUAAAAGUAUUUGAGUGGUAGAAAUCUCAGCCAAAAAUGGGCUGUUUUCAUUUUAAACAGACUGUUUAUGAAGUAAAAGGGGAAAAAAAUCAUAACCGAAAUAUGAUCAGAGUUUAGCCAAACAUGCUGUAUUGUCACGGCAACACUGGCUACAUGAGUUGUCAUCAAGGAAAGGGAAAAGUUGUCCCAAUUCUGGAAGCCAUCACUAAAACCAUCACU